AGCGAACGCUGGCGGCAGGCCUAACACAUGCAAGUCGAACGAACCUUUCGGGGUUUGUGGCGGAAGGGUGAGUAACACGUGGGAACGUGCCUUUAGGUUAGGAACAAAUCAGGGAAACUUGUGCUAAUAACGAAUGUGCCCUUCGGGGGAAAGAUUUCUCGCCUUUAGAGCGGCCCGCGUCUGAUUAGGUAGUUGGUUGAGGUAAUGGCUCACCAAGGCGACGAUCAGUAGCUGGUCUGAGAGGAUGAUCAGCCACAUUGGGACUGAGACACGGCCCAAACUCCUACGGGAGGCAGCAGUGGGGAAUCUUGCGCAAUGGGCGAAAGCCUGACGCAGCCAUGCCGCGUGAAUGAUGAAGGUCUUAGGAUUGUAAAAUUCUUUCACCGGGGACGAUAAUGACGGUACCCGGAGAAGAAGCCCCGGCUAACUUCGUG
rnacentral:rRNA from 1 species